GGUUGCGAUCAUACCAGCACUAAUGCACCGGAUCCCAUCAGAACUCCGCAGUUAAGCGUGCUUGGCCGAGAGUAGUACUAGGAUGGGUGACCCCCUGGGAAGUCCUCGUGUUGCAACCC
rnacentral:rRNA from 1 species